rnacentral:lncRNA from 1 species
GAACAAAGGUCAGCGCCCAGCCACCACUUGAAUGUGAGAUUUUUCUUUUUAUUCCCCUUGAUGUAUACUAGGCUCUGUGUUAUUAGUCUUAAUGAUGGAAAAUUGUAGUGUUGAUACAAAUCUUUUUUUCAAAGUAGUAGGCGGGAGCUCCAUUUGUUAGUAAGUUUUUUUGUGGCUAAAAGCCACGGACAGUACAUUUAUGUAGCAGUAAAAGGCCUGGAUGCUCUUUCCAUAGCAGAGCUAAUUAUUCCUACUGUGACCUUACUGAUCUAGCCUGUUCCCAGCACAUCUCAUCUGCACGCUUGCUCCUCUGUGUAGAUGGUGUCAGGGAAUAUGAAAAACCCUAUAAUGAAACCAUUUUCAUGAUGGAGAAAGGCUACUGGAGUCGUACUUGCUACAAAGAGGCUCAAUUAUAUGAGUAAUUGUGAUAAUUUUCUACAUUCAUAGCCUUCAAUGGGGAAAAAAGAACGAGAGCCACAAAGGAAAAUUACUUUAACAAGAAAGUACAGAGAGUAAAAAUGGAAGAAGAGACAAAAAAAGGGGAAAAAAUAACCAGAAAAAAAAAAGUUUAAAAAAUAGAUCUGGAGGGAGGACUAGCAAGGCAGGGAGAACAACAGAAGCUCGAAAGCCCAUGUGCAGCUGUGUUGUACAAUUAAAUUGAAUUUUUUUUUUCUGCAGUUGAUGAAUGUGACUACUGCAAAUGUGCCUCUGUAGUUAGCUAUCAUUUGUUGUUCCGUGACAGGAAAAGGAUAAUUACCUCUCAGAGAGAAUCAAAGGCUGACAUGCCCUUUAGACACAGCCAUGAAUGCAGAACUCCACAGAAUGCCUGAAUAAGAAUCCAGUGUUCUCUGCCCCCUUCGACUGAAGAAUAAAUUUUGUUAAAAUGCAAGAGCGCCACCAGUAAAUUUGUUGAACCCUAGGUGUUCAAAAAUAUGAGGUGCAUCUAUCGACUCAUCCCAUUUGCAAAAAUAAAACUGCAUUUUGAAUUCAUUUCUAUUAUAUUCGUGGACAGUAAGAUAGUGAGAUAUGCAUUAAAUUUCUUUUCCCAGUAGGGGUCUGAUUCAACAUUUCCUAUGAAAGAACAGAGAGACACUAUCCUUUUUUCCCAGGCUAGUUAGCCUAUAAUUUAAAACUGUCAAAAACACAAUUUUGUUCAAAGUCUUCAAUAAAAGCUUCUUAGAUAUAACCCAAAGAGAUUUUACUAAAGUUUGAUUCAGACACUGUUACAAUAUUUUUAAAGCCAUAAAUGCAUUUAACUGAUAUUUUACUGCCUUUUUUCUUAAAGUAUUUGAAGGCGAACUCAGAGAAAAAGGCAGCAUCUUUUCAAGGUGACUGAGCUUUCCAUGCUUUGGGCAAGCGGGAUGAAUUCAAAGGCUCGGGCGCAGAUUAAUGAGAACAGCACUUUAAAAAGGACUGGCCGAUCAUCUUUAACAAAAUGUGUUACUUUUAAAUGAAAACACAUAUUCUGCAUGUCUACUUCAAAACAUUUAGGGU